CGGCUCAGUAACACGUGGAUAACCUACCCUCAGAUCUGGGAUAACUCCGGGAAACUGGAGAUAAUACCGGAUAAUCCGUGAACGCUGGAAUGCCUUACGGUUGAAAGCUUUAGCGUCUGAGGAUGGGUCUGCGGCCGAUUAGGUAGUUGCUGGGGUAACGUCCCAACAAGCCGAUAAUCGGUACGGGUUGUGAGAGCAAGAGCCCGGAGAUGGAUUCUGAGACACGAAUCCAGGUCCUACGGGGCGCAGCAUGCGCGAAAACUUUACACUGCGCGAAAGCGCGAUAAGGGGACCUCGAGUGCGUGCGCAAAGCGUACGCUUUUCAGAUGCCUAAAAAGCAUCUGGAAUAAGGGCCGGGCAAGACCGGUGCCAGCCGCCGCGGUAACACCGGCGGCUCAAGUGGUGGCCGCUAUUAUUGGGCUUAAAGGGUCCGUAGCCGGACCAGUUAGUCCCUUGGGAAAUCUUACGGCUUAACCGUAAGGCUGCCAAUGGAUACUGCUGGUCUUGGGACCGGGAGAGGCAAGAGGUACCUCAGGGGUAGGAGUGAAAUCCUGUAAUCCUUGAGGGACCGCCAGUGGCGAAGGCGUCUUGCUAGAACGGGUCCGACGGUG
rnacentral:rRNA from 1 species